rnacentral:rRNA from 1 species
UUGUGAAGCGGAGCGGGAGGUGGUGCGAAGUAGCCAACACCAAGUUUCCGUUUUCAACACACUCUAGUACCCGCGGAACCUAGUGGAGAGACUAAACACGUCGUACUGCCUCUGUUUCCUUCGGGAGUUCGAGUCCUUCUUGCGGGUGACGUCCACUCUGCCACUUGUAGUUCCACUUCUACCUGACGCUCCCGACGCUCUCCUCCCAGUUCUUGCGGCAGUUUAGCUAAGCCCCAUGAGUAUGGAUGCAGUUUAUUAUGAUAGAUGAGGCCCUCUAUUUUUAAACCACAUUUUAACUAACUCGCUUGCAACUUGCUAGAGUAGAGACACCCAGCCACCGUGUCCACACUGUUCGCACCGGCAUUUGGGGUUCUACUCGUUCCACUGCCACUGUCCCGUGCACCUCGGCGCGUUCCACGACCUCGCCCACUUCUCGUGCCCCUUCCGCCGCCUCUACACCGGCAUGCACGGGAUGUGCGAGCGGUGGAUGGGAUGCAGCCGCCGCGGAUGCUGUUCUUCCGUGGCCGCCCGAAGCAGGCGUCGCGUGGCGUCCGGUACCGGCUGGGGCGCCGCGGACUCUAGGUGAUGUACUUGUACAAGUUGCUGCUCCUGCAGUUGCGGACGUGGCAGUACACUAGACUAGUAGCAUUAGCGGUCGAGGAAGGUGAGAUCGGCUGCUGGUCUGCUGGUCGCCUUUCUGUACGAACUAUACAGAAGUACGUAGUGGUUCUGACAUAAACAUAUAUAUACAAAAGAGCGAACCCUUUUCCCCUAUGGUUCUUAUGCUCGAACGCACGCUUGUCGAUAUUAUAUGAUGUUUCUUUAUCGAUUUCAAAUUAUUCGC